AUUGAACGCUGGCGGCAUGCCUUACACAUGCAAGUCGAACGGCAGCACGGGUGCUUGCACCUGGUGGCGAGUGGCGAACGGGUGAGUAAUACAUCGGAACAUGUCCUGUAGUGGGGGAUAGCCCGGCGAAAGCCGGAUUAAUACCGCAUACGAUCUACGGAUGAAGGCGGGGGACCUUCGGGCCUCGCGCUAUCGGGUUGGCCGAUGGCUGAUUAGCUAGUUGGUGGGGUAAAGGCCUACCAAGGCGACGAUCAGUAGCUGGUCUGAGAGGACGACCAGCCACACUGGGACUGAGACACGGCCCAGACUCCUACGGGAGGCAGCAGUGGGGAAUUUUGGACAAUGGGCGAAAGCCUGAUCCAGCAAUGCCGCGUGUGUGAAGAAGGCCUUCGGGUUGUAAAGCACUUUUGUCCGGAAAGAAAUCCUUGGCCCUAAUACGGUCGGGGGAUGACGGUACCGGAAGAAUAAGCACCGGCUAACUACGUG
rnacentral:rRNA from 1 species